GCAGGCUCCUCAGCCCCAGCAUGGUGGUCAGGCUCUGGGGCGUGACAACUCCUGUCCUGGAGGCAUCUAUGAUGACUAAGAAUGCGCACAUACCCAAGAAACAAGGCUUGGAAUGAAACGCUAAAGGGUGCCGGGGCAGCCUGGAAGACAAAAAAGGCAGAAAAGUCCAGGACAGGUCGCCGAGGGGGCAGAAGGGCGGCACAAGGCAGUUUUCAAGCCGAGUCUGUGUCCCGCCACGGCGGCCUCGCGCGGCACCACAGCUCCCGACUCGGAAUGCAGGGCGUUCCCACGCCUAACCCGGGCAGCCUCGCCCCGGCUGCCCGCGUCCCCGCAGGAGGGCGGCCGAGGGCGGACGUGCCUGGCGCCGCGCAGGAAAUGGCGGCGGAGACAAGGCGUGGCCGCAGCGCCACGACUGGCCACCAGGGGGCAGCCCCGCGUCUGGAUCCCGCAGCCGGCUAGAACCGGUCUGACCGGAAGCUAGGGUGCGGCCUUCUCUUCCGUAGCCGCGCGCCACGUGGCGGCGCGGGUGGGGGUAGGAGGAGGAAUGUACCCCGUGUGCACUCAAAACCUCUGAGGAACCAAACACGGUUUAACGAUCUCCAUCCACUAUCAGCGCCAAGCGCUGGGAAGUUCCAAAGGAAUUCUGAAACAAAAAGGACUGUACUCUACCCUUCCUCUCCCUGGCCUCAGGAAAGAAUGCAGCUUUAUCCCUAGCGGUUCCUAACACGCAGCGAACCAGCCGACUUCCUGUACUUUGCAGUGCUUGCUUGCUUUCUCUUUCCUACGAAUAGUUCAGAAAAUCCCAGGGAGCUCUACAGAUGUCAACGUUCCUCGGACUUUAAAAGUUUUUGUCUCCAAAAUUUCAUUAGUACAGACUUCCAUUUGUAAAAUGUAUUUCAGAUUUUAAGUGAGAUAUUAAGAAAAUUUAAAGAAGCCAUCUUCCAAUAAAUAAUUCUAUAUGUCUUCAA